UACGUAGGGCGCAAGCGUUGUCCGGAAUUAUUGGGCGUAAAGAGCUCGUAGGCGGUUUGUCGCGUCUGUCGUGAAAGCCCACGGCUUAACCGUGGGUCUGCGGUGGAUAUGGGCAGACUAGAGGCAGGUAGGGGAGAAUGGAAUUCCCAGUGUAGCGGUGAAAUGCGCAGAUAUCGGGAGGAACACCGGUGGCGAAGGCGGUUCUCUGGGCCUGUACUGACGCUGAGGAGCGAAAGCGUGGGGAGCGAACAGG
rnacentral:rRNA from 1 species